rnacentral:rRNA from 1 species
GAUGAACGCUGGCGGCGUGCUUAACACAUGCAAGUCGAACGAGAAGUGAAGACGGAAACCUUCGGGCGGAAGGCUUUAUUUCGAGUGGCGGACGGGUGAGUAACGCGUGGGUAACCUGCCUCAUACAGGGGGAUAACAGUUGGAAACGACUGUUAAUACCGCAUAAGACCACAGCACCGCAUGGUGCGGGGGUAAAAACUCCGGUGGUAUGAGAUGGACCCGCGUUCGAUUAGCCAGUUGGCGGGGUAACGGCCCACCAAAGCGACGAUCGAUAGCCGAUCUGAGAGGACGACCGGCCACAUUGGGACUGAGACACGGCCCAAACUCCUACGGGAGGCAGCAGUGGGGAAUAUUGCACAAUGGGGGAAACCCUGAUGCAGCGACGCCGCGUGAGUGAAGAAGUAUUUCGGUAUGUAAAGCUCUAUCAGCAGGGAAGAAAAUGACGGUACCUGAGUAAGAAGCCCCGGCUAACUACGUG